CGACGGAGGCCUGCUUCGCGCCAGGCCAGAGCUCGGCGUGGAAAUCUCGCCACACACCGCUCGACGUUUCCGUCGUCCAUCUUCUCUUUCUCCUCCUCUCUGAAACGGGCGGCAGGCUGCCUGGCUGAAGAGGCCGAGGAGAUUUGCGACCGGAGCGAGGCUCAAAGGCUCCGCCUCUUUUGGGCCCGACGCGACUUCCCCACUGUCACUGUCUGUCUCCCUCCGGUCGCCCCUUUUCUCUGGAGCCUCGCCAGUUCCCCGCGUCCAUGGGCGGCGCACGCUAGGUCUUUCUUCCUCCAGGCGGGGCCCGACCCUCGCCGGCUCCGCUGCGGCUCUGUGUGCACUCACCGGCAACGCUUCAGCGGGGCGUUCUCGCGAAUUCGAGCACUCCUCGCCCACGACCACCCGCCACAGAAACCCAAAGAGCGCGCCGGUACCGACGACGUACAUCGACGUGAAUGCACGCUCCCCCAAGGGAGACAAAUGCCUGUGCGACACAAGCGCUUGCUUGUCCUGUUCGGUUCCCGCCUCAACGACGGUGCUCGGUCUCCCCUCCGUGCCGCGACUUGACUCCUCCGCAGACUGACUGGCAUCGCUGCGAGAGCGGCCGCUGUCUGAAGCGCGCAUGCGAGAUUCGUCGCGCGUCUCGCCAAGAGAACGCGAAUAGUCUGUAUCGCCGGGCGCAGCAAGAAGAAGCGCAGUCGCAGUGAUCGCGAAAGGCAAGCACGACGACCGGCCCUGGGCACCGUUUUCCUUCCGACGUUCCGCACCGCUGAGGCAGGCGCCAGCGGGCGACAGUUCAGCGUCUUCGUCCUCACUGCUGGAGCUUUCAGAGUCACUGUUUCGCUCUGGUUCACCGAGAAUCCGCUCUGCGCGGGUGUCGGCACCUCGACGUGAACUUGAAGAGGCUGAAGAAGAGAGAAGGACUCUCGUGCGGUGGAGGCGACGAAGCAAAGAAGGCGGCAGAGAAACAACAACCCGUCUGAGCGAAAAACAAAUCACACAGUGCUACCAGGGAGGGUAUUCUCUUUACCAUACUGACAUACCUAUAUGCAUAAUAUAUAUGUGUAUAUGUCUACAACUCGAAGAAAAUAUAUAUCCACAUGCAGCCCUGUGGGCUGUUGCGUGCCAAAGUAGACGUUGGGUUCUGAAUGUGGGAGAAAUGUCGUGGCCGACGCGUUUGCACGCAUCCAUGAAAACGCUCGAACGCAUCUACAAACCGUCGACGUAGGGACAUCGACGAACCCCCAUCACUCGGUGUUCAACGGAGCGACAAAAGCCCAGGAGAACGCGGAUCAGCCGGGGAGCCGCGAUCUCUUUCUGAGAGCGAGAAUGCGCGAUGGACGGCGCCUUUUCGCAUUCUUUUCGGUUUCGCUGACUUCUUGAUGUUUUCCAAGUCCCUGAAUUUGACUUGGACACGUUCACCACUCACCUCACGACUGGCGUGCGGAGCUGGCGGAUCGUUUCGCAGUGAGGUCUCUUCUCAGCGCCGUCUCUGCUGUCUGCUGUCCUCUCAGGGCGCCUUGCCUCUCCCGUGUCGCCUGUCGCUUUCACCUUCCCGCCCUCUCGCCACAGAAAAAUCUGUAGCACAGUAGUCUCCCCGACGAGAAGGAUCUGUUCCCCGUCGCUCCAGAGGAUCUCUUGCACCUUUUCAGGCGCCUGCGUGUACCCGACAACUCGAUACGGCGCGCUCGUCGCCUCCAGCUCUGCCGUUGUGGCAGGAGACGAGGACUCCCCGCAACCCCUCGCCGAUCUGCCAACGUUUUCUCCGUCUCCUCCGCUGUCCCCUGCUCGCCCGCGAGGCUCGCCGCGCCCCUCGCGCCUCCGUCCUGGGCCGUCUGCACGGACUCCGUCCCCUGAUUUUGUCUCCUGAUUUUCUUCUCCAAAUGCAGUCACCGGCCGUUCGCCGUCGCACUCAAGGAGAACGACGACGUCGUCUGAGCCGAGUGCGGCAAUUCCGCAACCUAAGCGGAACAUUCCCGGCGAGAGCAAACACAGGAGACAGUACUGGACUCAGACGCUCUCCGCGACCUGGACGCGGAGGCAACAGAAGAACUCAGGGCGUUGCCACGGGUGUCUCGACGCGACACAGGCCUCUGUGUGACGCAAGAAACAGCUGAGAAUGUUUGUGUGUCGCGCAAAUGCAUGAGUUUCCACUAAGGAGAGUGAUAAACGCCGGUGGCCCAGUCUGGGGCGUGUCCUUCUCGCGGACCGUUGCCAGCGCCCAGCGCCGCGCGAGCGCCCCGCUCUGUCCCUUCGCUUCUGUUUACCGUCUGGACUGCAUGCGAGAGCCCGAAUCUCCGCUGCAUGAGUUUUAAUGGCGUAGACGACUGAGAUCGCCUCGGCAGAGACCCCCAGCACUCUGAAGACGCCGUCCGCCGAGCCAGUGGCGACCCACGCGUCGACGCGGUCCUUUCGCGGAGGUGGAGAUGACGCGGAAACACCCUCGCACCCGGCAGGCGACGAUCCGUCCAGAGAAGGAGUCAAAGAAAAACGAGGCGAAGAGGACGGAGAAGAAGUGUUGUGCGGAGGGCAGCAGAGGCGGUGUGGACGCGACGGGAGACAGAGAAGGGCGGUGAACGCCGCAUCCCAUCGCCUGAAAGAGCGAAACGGGGAUGAACGUGAGAGAUGAAGCAAGUCCGCUGCCGAGCUGGAGGUGAAUUGGUUCUGCGAGGAGUGUUGCUAUCAAACCCCGAAAGACGUAGGAUCCACAGAAAGGCGAGACGGGCUGCGAAGAAGCCGAGUUCAUAAGCGGACGAGGGACAACAAGCGGAAAAGGAAAAGGGAGAAAAGGAAGAACCGUGGAAACGAGGAAACGCGACCGUGACAAGACGUGGGGGGGAGAGAAAGAAGAUAUAACUCCGAGGGGCGUCUCCUACCCAAGGAUGGACAGAGGCGACAAGGAAUGGCGACGGCACAGAGAGCGCCCUCGACAUGAUCGACACAUUGUCGAGAGAGCAAGAGAGAACAUUGGCGUCGCCGUAAAACCCAUUUUUCCUUCCGCCAUGUGUCCUUCUCUGGGGGAAACUGCCACCUGAGCGUGUGUGUUUGCUUCCGGCACACACCCCGUCUCGGUAGAACUCGCGCAGAGAACUUCUUCUUCAGUUGGUAUUCGCUGGGCCGUCCUGUGCUCCGGCACAGUCUCGCAUGUCUCCCCGGAACCCAGGAGUUCCGAGAGAAGUAUUGCGGCGGUUUCCAUUUGUUCAGGUUACCUCGAAACAGCCGGUAGGCUUUUCCGCGCGUCGCGCCAAACGCGGAUGCUGCCGUCUGCGCCUGCCGUCGCCAGUAACGCCUCGUGCGCGAGACGCAGCCCUUUCGCGUGUUGUCUCUCCGGGAAAAUUCCAGCGGGACUAGAAGAAAGAGAGGAAGACGAUGACGAGCUUGUGGCGAGAGCUUCAGCGUUAAGGUCGGCGAAGGAAGAGACAAGAGGGGCGACGCCGACGAUGUCUGCGGCAUGCAGGUCGAGGAGCUGAGCACACAAGGCAAGAAAUGGGGAGGCGACGGCGUGGAGCAGGGAAACCAAAAGUAUUUCGCAACGCGUCUUUUAAACUAUACAGACUUCGGCGUAUACACUGGAAUCGACCUUCUGUUUGAUCACCGAAUGCAUGAUCUCUUGUGGGGGAGCAAAGCGUGGUGCACAUACGCACAUGCACGCGUACGUGUAUAUACAGGAAGAUGCAUACGCAUGCGCAUGUACAUAAAAAUAAAUAUAUAUAUAUAUAUUUAUAUCUAGAUAUUUAUAUCUAUGUAUAUGUAUAUCGACUGGUGUGAUUUAUGUUCUAUCAAUGUCUCCCCGACGUGUCCUCUUUACUCGGUGACUCGGAUUCACUCGCCUGCCUCCCCUUGCUGAUCUGUUUGUCUCUACGAGCAAGGAAAGGGGUGUCCGUCUAAGGCACAGCCUGGCAAUCUCUGCUGGCAGAUGGCCCCCUUCGAUUCAACCUGUGUCCGUGUGUUUCGUACCAUCACGAGGGCGUUUGUGACCGGGUUGUAGCUCCAGAAGGCGCCCGCGAGGUCCUCGAUCAGCCAGUUUGCGGGCGCAGACGAACUAGGGACGUGGCAAACGUGAACGCGCAUCGCAUGCAGAACACAGUUGAUUUCGCAGCCGGCAAGGCCAUCGAACCUCCCACGUAUGUGCCUAUGCACACUCGGGCCUAGGAGCCCGACUCCAACGCCGCUACCACCUCAUGGCUUUAUCUCUUCUCUCGUUUGUCUCCUUUCUUCCUCUCGCAUCUUUUCUGUUCUUCCUCUCUGGUCCUGUCACUUUUCUUCCUCUCUCUCCCUUUCUCUCUUUUUCUCUCUCUCUUUCGCUCUCUUCCCCGUUCUCGCCUCUCCCCCUGCUUCGAUCUCGCCUUUACCGGAACUUGACGUAUACUAUGGUGCGACUCGUAGCCCAGAUUUGCUUUCGCCGCUUUCGCAGCCGUCUCCCCUCUCGCAAGUUCGGCCCUUCCUCUGUAGUCCCCAGCCGCCCCUCUCCCGCAGCC
rnacentral:lncRNA from 1 species